rnacentral:rRNA from 1 species
CCUACGGGUGGCAGCAGUGUGGAAUAUUGCACAAUGGGGGGAACCCUGAUGCAGCGACGCCGCGUGAGUGAAGACGUAUUUCGGUAUGUAAAGCUCUAUCAGCAGGGAAGAAAAUGACGGUACCUGACUACGAAGCCCCGGCUAACUACGUGCCAGCAGCCGCGGUAAUCCGUCGGGGGCCCGCGUUAUCCGGAUUUACUGGGUGUAAAGGGAGAGCAGGCGGGUGUGCAAGUCUGGAGGUAAAGACGGGGGGCCAAACCCCGUACUGCCGUGGAAACUGUAAGGCUGGAGUGCAGGAGAGGUAUGCGGAAUGCGUAGUGUAGCGGUGAAAUGCGUAGAUAUUAGGAGGAACACCAGUUGCGAAGGCGGCAUACUGGAGUGCAACUGACGUUGAGGCUCGAAAGCGUGGGGAGCAAACAGGAUUAGAUACCCGGGUAGUC